GACAGAGGUGCCGAGCGUUAGGCGGAAUCACUGGGCUUAAAGCGUGUGUAGGCGGGCGGGCAAGUACCUUGUGAAAUCCCACGGCUCAACCGUGGAACGGCUGGGUAUACUGCCUGUCUUGAGCCAACUAGGGGCGAGCGGAACAGACGGUGGAGCGGUGAAAUGCGUAGAUAUCGUCUGGAACGCCAAAGGUGAAAACAGCUCGCUGGGGUUGUGCUGACGCUAAGACACGAAAGCCAGGGGAGCGAACGGG
rnacentral:rRNA from 1 species